rnacentral:ncRNA from 2 species
UAAAAUCGAUCGGGGAGUUUGUGUAACAGACUGAGAGGAUGGUAAACCAUUGACCCGAACACCUGAACCGGAUAAUGCCGGCGGAGGAAAUCGUAUCACUUUUGUA